GGUGAGAUGGCCGAGUGGUUGAAGGCGUUCCCCUGCUAAGGGAAUAUACAGUUUUUCUGUAUCGAGGGUUCGAAUCCCUCUUUCACCG
rnacentral:tRNA from 1 species